AUACUUAUAAACUCAGAAUCGGAAAUAUUUUAUUACCCCCGA
rnacentral:sRNA from 1 species